rnacentral:rRNA from 1 species
GAUGAACGCUGGCGGCGUGCCUAAUACAUGCAAGUCGAGCGAACAGACGAGAGUGCUUGCACUCUCUGACGUUAGCGGCGGACGGGUGAGUAACACGUGGGUAACCUACCUAUAAGACUGGGAUAACUUCGGGAAACCGGAGCUAAUACCGGAUAAUAUUUAGCUUCGCAUGAAGCAAUAGUGAAAGACGGUUCUGCUGUCACUUAUAGAUGGACCCGCGGUGUAUUAGCUAGUUGGUGAGGUAACGGCUCACCAAGGCAACGAUACAUAGCCGACCUGAGAGGGUGAUCGGACACACUGGGACUGAGACACGGCCCAGACUCCUACGGGAGGCAGCAGUAGGGAAUCUUCCGCAAUGGACGAAAGUCUGACGGAGCAAUGCCGCGUGAGUGAAGAAGGUUUUCGGAUCGUAAAACUCUGUUGUAAGGGAAGAACAAGUACGUUAGUAACUGAACGUACCUUGACGGUACCUUACCAGAAAGCCACGGCUAACUACGUG